GCGCGAGUGGCGGAAUAGGUAGACGCGCUGGCUUCAGGUGCCAGUGUUCGAAAGGACGUGGGGGUUCAAGUCCCCCCUCGCGCACCA
rnacentral:tRNA from 1 species